rnacentral:rRNA from 1 species
UACGUAGGGGGCAAGCGUUGUCCGGAUUUAUUGGGUUUAAAGGGUGCGUAGGUGGCUCUGUAAGUCAGUGGUGAAAUAUCUCAGCUUAACUGAGAGGGUGCCAUUGAUACUGCAGGGCUUGAGUACAGAUGAGGUAGGCGGAAUUGACGGUGUAGCGGUGAAAUGCAUAGAUAUCGUCAAGAACACCGAUAGCGAAGGCAGCUUACCAAGCUGUAACUGACACUGAGGCACGAAAGUGUGGGGAGCAAACAGG